rnacentral:rRNA from 1 species
GACGAACGCUGGCGGCGUGCCUAAUACAUGCAAGUAGAACGCUGAAGCGAGGCGCUUGCUCUUCUUGGGUGAGUUGCGCACGGGUGAGUAACGCGUAGGUACCCUGCCUUGUAGCGGGGGAUAACUAUUGGAAACGAUAGCUAAUACCGCAUAACAAUGUAUCACACAUGUCCUUUAUUUGAAAGGGGCAAUUGCUCCACUACAAGAUGGACUUGCGUUGUAUUAGCUAGUAGGUGAGGUAAUGGCUCACCUAGGCGACGGUACAUAGCCGACCUGAGAGGGGGCUCGGCCACACUGGGACUGGGACACGGCCCAGACUCCUACAGGAGGCAGCAGUAGGGAAUCUUCGGGAAUGGGGGCAACCCUGACCGAGCAACGCCGCGUGAGGGGAGAAGGUUUUCGGCGCGUAAAGCGCCGUUGUAAGUCAAGAACGGGCGUUGGAGUGGAAAGUUCACGCUGUGACGGUAGCUAACCAGAAAGCGACGGCUAACUACGUG